GACGAACGCUGGCGGCGUGCCUAAUACAUGCAAGUCGAGCGGACGAUGGAGGAGCUUGCUCCUCCUGAUUCAGCGGCGGACGGGUGAGUAACACGUGGGCAACCCGCCCUGUAGAUUGGGAUAACUCCGGGAAACCGGGGCUAAUACCGAAUAACCCACCGGACCCCCUGGUCUGGUGUUGAAAGACGGCAUCUCGCUCUCACUACAGGAUGGGCCCGCGGGGCAUUAGCUAGUUGGUGAGGUUACGGCUCACCAAGGCCACGAUGCGUAGCCGACCUGAGAGGGUGAUCGGCCACACUGGGACUGAGACACGGCCCAGACUCCUACGGGAGGCAGCAGUAGGGAAUCUUCCACAAUGGACGAAAGUCUGAUGAAGCAACGCCGCGUGAGUGAAGAAGGUUCUCGGAUCGUAAAACUCUGUUGUGAGGGAAGAACAAGUACCGGAGUAACUGCCGGUACCUUGACGGUACCUCGUUAGAAAGCCACGGCUAACUACGUGCCAGCCGCCGCAGUAAUAC
rnacentral:rRNA from 1 species